rnacentral:rRNA from 1 species
UACAGAGGUCUCAAGCGUUGUUCGGAUUCAUUGGGCGUAAAGGGUGCGUAGGCGGCGCGGUAAGUCGGGUGUGAAAUCUUGGAGCUUAACUCCGAAACUGCAUUCGAUACUGCCUUGCUAGAGUACUGGAGAGGAGAUUGGAAUUUACGGUGUAGCAGUGAAAUGCGUAGAUAUCGUAAGGAAGACCAGUGGCGAAGGCGGGUCUCUGGACAGUUCCUGACGCUGAGGCACGAAGGCCAGGGGAGCAAACGGG